rnacentral:lncRNA from 1 species
UUUUUUUCCAUUUAAGAAUCAUUUCCUCCCUCUAAAGUUGAACCAAAUACAUAAAUUCGAAGGAAUUAAAAUCCUUUUCUCUAGAAUUCUGUUACGCCUGGAUUAAGCCGUCAACAAAUGUGGAUGUUGAUCAUGGCCCGUCAGCUUGACUGGCCAGUAAGGAAGUCUGAUAGGGUGGCAGUGAAACCCGUUUGGCAGAAAGAUUAUCAGAUGGGUAAAGUCAGGAAGUAGGGUAAGAUUGGUUCCAUGCUUUUAAAGUAUUCCUUAGGAUUUGGAUUUCUGUUUGGAUUGAUCUUUUGGGAUUUCUAUUUUGAACUUGAUUUAUCCUUUCGUUGUUAUUAUUUAAACACUAGCAAAGGAAUGGAAUACAAUAUUUUUUUUUUUCUAUCUUCUUUCUUUCAAUUUCUCAGGGAGUUUGCACUCACUCAAAGUAGUUCUCGUUGACCACAUAGGCUUGAGUGUAUCAAAUUCCAUUCAUUUAUUGCCAACCAAACAACACCUUAUGUCUAUAGUAACAUGGCAAUUAACCUAAAGCUUUGAACAAUUUUAUCAGAAGUAAAUGAGAUAAAGAAAUUCAAUUUGGAUUAAAUAUGAAGUAGAGUUAAUGAUCAGAAAUGGAUUUUGUCACAAAUGUCCAUCGGCUUUUCAUACUUUAUUUAUCUUUUUAUAAUAUUAGCUGCCAUCAAAGUUCUUGACUUUCUGAGCUUAUAAUGGGGUGAUACAUAGCUAAACGGCUAAACACAACUAAAUUAAGCUUAUGUUUACCUCACUUGAAUAAAGUUAAUUAGUUAAGAAUGCGGAUUUCUAGGCUUAUAGUUUUAUUUAUAUUUUAAGUAUACGAGUGUAUAUAACCUGGUUUAACUUACACCUUGUUUAUAUUUCUAUUACAAUUGCAUAUAAUUUUGCAGAACUCAGCCAAACAUUAGUGUAUCCGGAAAUCAAAAACACAUUUUGUGUUCAAGCAACUCACUAAUGCAUGCAUCAAGAAUUAUCCAAGCUCCUUGAUCCACAAUAUGAAAAUGCAGUUUUUACCAUCUUCAUUACUUUAAUAUGGUUUUUUUGGACAUACCGCAAC